AUUUUGAAACUCCCUUGAAGGUUUAUUGAAAUUUGGACAACCAUUGUAUUGCAGUCAUGUGAGUCAUUUAGGUAAAGAUUCACUAACUGUUUUGUCUUUUUCCUCCCCGUCAUUGCCUUUGCAAGCAGCCCAAUGAAUUGCUUUGUGUUGAUAUUUCCUAACAGGCAUCGCUUUUGGAGAGAGUUGCGUUUUGGUGUUCGUGCCUUUGUAUAAGUGUUUCUGAAUUUGGUACAUUACUGUCAUUUUGUGUUAUUAAACCUAAGGGAUCACUAGACUUGUUGCAGUGUUCUUAGAGAAGUUUUGUAACAAGAUGGAUAUCAAAGUCUUGUGUUGUGAGGAGGUUAUUGGCUUCAAUGAGAGUUAUCA
rnacentral:misc_RNA from 1 species